rnacentral:lncRNA from 1 species
GGCAUAAUACUUGCAAAAGAUGAUUAAGAAACCUUGGUAAAGGUCCAGACCAUGUACUUUGGAAAGGCAAAUUUAAUGGUCGAGGAUGCUUGUUGGGAAGGAAUGGUUUACAUCAUGUUACUUCGACCUUAGUACUUUAGUUAUUGUUGGUGGAUUAUUGUCAUCUUUUGGUACUUUAGCAAUUCUCCGUUGUUUCGAUACUCUUGAUAAAUGUAUUAAUUGAUUUAUUGUGGAGAACAGUAGUAGAAUUAUGAAUUUUUAUGUAGUAGUGGGUUGAUGUUGAUUUUGGAUGUAUUGGAUGCUUGGGAUUAUAUGGGAAUCGUGUAACUACUGAUUGGACAUUGUAAAUUUUUAUAAUUUUAGUGUUGCAUA